rnacentral:tRNA from 1 species
CGCGGGGUGGAGCAGUUCGGUAGCUCGUCGGGCUCAUAACCCGAAGGUCACAGGUUCAAAUCCUGUCCCCGCCAC